rnacentral:rRNA from 1 species
GACGAACGCUGGCGGCGUGCUUAACACAUGCAAGUCGAACGGAAAGGCCCUGCUUGCAGGGUACUCGAGUGGCGAACGGGUGAGUAACACGUGGGUGAUCUGCCCUGCACUUCGGGAUAAGCUUGGGAAACUGGGUCUAAUACCGGAUAGGAACCAUCUUUAGUGUGGUGGUUGGAAAGUUUUUUCGGUGUAGGAUGAGCUCGCGGCCUAUCAGCUUGUUGGUGGGGUAAUGGCCUACCAAGGCGGCGACGGGUAGCCGGCCUGAGAGGGUGUACGGCCACAUUGGGACUGAGAUACGGCCCAGACUCCUACGGGAGGCAGCAGUGGGGAAUAUUGCACAAUGGGCGCAAGCCUGAUGCAGCGACGCCGCGUGGGGGAUGAAGGCCUUCGGGUUGUAAACUCCUGUCGCUAGGGACGAAGCUUUUUUGUGACGGUACCUAGAGAAGAAGCACCGGCUAACUACGUG